rnacentral:rRNA from 1 species
UGGGGAAUAUUGCACAAUGGGCGCAAGCCUGAUGCAGCCAUGCCGCGUGUGUGAAGAAGGCCUUCGGGUUGUAAAGCACUUUCAGCGAGGAGGAAGGUGGUGAACUUAAUACGUUCAUCAAUUGACGUUACUCGCAGAAGAAGCACCGGCUAACUCCGUGCCAGCAGCCGCGGUAAUACGGAGGGUGCAAACGUUAAUCGGAAUUACUGGGCGUAAAGCGCACGCAGGCGGUUUGUUAAGUCAGAUGUGAAAUCCCCGGGCUCAACCUGGGAACUGCAUUUGAAACUGGCAAGCUAGAGUCUCGUAGAGGGGGGUAGAAUUCCAGGUGUAGCGGUGAAAUGCGUAGAGAUCUGGAGGAAUACCGGUGGCGAAGGCGGCCCCCUGGACGAAGACUGACGCUCAGGUGCG